ACCCGGCUGGCUUAGUCGGUAGAGCAUGUGACUUUUGAUCUUGGGGUUGUGAGCUCAAAGCCCCAUGCUGGGUG
rnacentral:tRNA from 1 species